UUGGUUUCUCAUCAGUUAAUGGGUCAUCUGUAUUUGAACUUUUAACAUAUUUUGCAACUGAUGAAAUGUCUGUAGCAGCAUCCACUUUAGUCUCUACUCAUGUAUAAUAGAGUACUGAAGUUUAGUUUGGCUGAGAAAUGUUAAAUGUGGACCGAGAACCUUUUCUGAGAUGUAGAUGAAGCUUAGGUUUCGUUAUUAUGAUGGGAAUUGAGAAAGGCAUAUCCCAUAAGACAGGGGCUCUUUUAAAAUGAGAAUUUUUGAAACUGAAAAGGUGGUUCAGCUUUGCUGGGAGGAACAGGAAACUAAAAGGACAAAUCAAUCCCCUAGUUGCAUCUAUAUCACGACUUUAAUGGCAGUUCAGAAUGAUUGAAGUAUAUAGCCAGCUUUGACGUUUACAUCUGAAUUCAAUGUGUACACUAUGCGGAAUAUCUUUUUCGCACCCACAAAUGAACAACUGAUCAGCAAUGGUUUUCUAAAAGGAUAAUUAAAAGCUUAACUUCUCAGCAUCCAUUGACAACUAUUCAACGUGGGAUUUAGACAUCUCAUACAUAGUCACCAUCUUGAUUAAUUUUGUUUAAUGUGUUAUUAACUCAUUCCCUCAAAGUUUGAUCUUCGGUUUGUGUGUUGCUUUGAUUGGAUAGUUGCUCUGUUAGAUGCAAUAAUCUUAUUAUUUGCCUAUGCAGGGUGAAACCAGACCAUUCAAGCCUUAUACUGCUCGUUAUCAUGUUCCAUUCCAAGCCCCACACAAUACAUCUCCAUCGUGGUACUUUAUCAAGAGAGCUCCUGCAUACAGCAUUGUCAUGUCGUCAUCAUUAAUAGAGGAUUUUUUAUUGCAGCAAAAUCACAGUAUCUUCUACGAAAUCCUCAACUAAAUGCAAGCAUUUAU